rnacentral:rRNA from 1 species
UACGUAGGGGGCGAGCGUUGUCCGGAAUUAUUGGGCGUAAAGGGCGCGCAGGCGGUCCCUUCAGUCUGGUGUGAAAUCCCACGGCUCAUGCGUGGGCGGUCAUUGGAAACUGAGGGACUUGAGUGCAGGAGAGGAGAGCGGAAUUCCCGGUGUAGCGGUGAAAUGCGUAGAGAUCGGGAAGAACCCCAGUGGCGAAGGCGGUUCUCUGGCCUGCAACUGACGCUGAGGCGCGAAAGCGUGGGGAGCAAACAGG